rnacentral:lncRNA from 1 species
CCCCACCGAACGCGUCCGCCGCCUCCCGAUCCCGCCCCGCGGUCCCCCCCGGGGCAUGAACCGCCCCCCGGCGGGCCGAAACCGGCCAAACUGGCAAAACCGCCCCGAUCAUGCCCGUUUUUCGGCGUUCUAACCGCCGCGCGGCUACCCCCCCAUCCCGAUGCCCCCGGACCCCUGGUCCCGUGGGACCUGACGGAAACGGAGUCGGAUGCCCGGAUCAUGAGAUACGCCCAAAACCGUCUAAACCUACUGAGCGCACCCCGAACAUGCCCAUUUUUCGGCGUUCAAACCGCUGCGCGGCUACCCCCCCAUCCCGAUGCCCCCGGAACCCUGGUCCCGCGGGACCCGACGGAAACGGAAUCGGAGGCCCGGAUCAUGAGUUACGGCCCCUUCUUUGCGGCCCCCGAGGACGUGCGCUAUAGCCCCCCGGGCCACCCCCCAUCCGGCCGCACCCGCCCGAACCCCACCGAACGCGUCCGCCGCCUCCCGAUCCCGCCCCGCGGUCCCCCCCGGGGCAUGAACCGCCCCCCGGCGGGCCGAAACCGGCCAAACCGGCAAAACCGCCCCGAUCAUGCCCGUUUUUCGGCGUUCAAACCGCCGCGCGGCUACCCCCCCAUCCCGAUGCCCCCGGACCCCUGGUCCCGUGGGACCUGACGGAAACGGAAUCGGAUGCCCGGAUCAUGAGAUACGCCCAAAACCGUCUAAACCUACUGAGCGCACCCCGAACAUGCCCAUUUUUUGGCGUUCAAACCGCCGCGCGGCUACCCCCCCAUCCCGAUGCCCCCGGAACCCUGGUCCCGCGGGACCCGACGGAAACGGAAUCGGAGGCCCGGAUCAUGAGUUACGGCCCCUUCUUUGCGGCCCCCGAGGACGUGCGCUAUAGCCCCCCGGGCCACCCCCCAUCCGGCCGCACCCGCCCGAACCCCACCGAACGCGUCCGCCGCCUCCCGAUCCCGCCCCGCGGUCCCCCCCGGGGCAUGAACCGCCCCCCGGCGGGCCGAAACCGGCCAAACCGGCAAAACGACCCAAUCAUGCCCGUUUUUCGGCGUUCAAACCGCCGCGCGGCUACCCCCCCAUCCCGAUGCCCCCGGAACCCUGGUCCCGCGGGACCCGACGGAAACGGAAUCGGAGGCCCGGAUCAUGAGUUACGGCCCCUUCUUUGCGGCCCCCGAGGACGUGCGCUAUAGCCCCCCGGGCCACCCCCCAUCAGGCCGCACCCGCCCGAACCCCACCGAACGCGUCCGCCGCCUCCCGAUCCCGCCCCGAGGUCCCCCCCGGGGCAUGAACCGCCCCCCGGCGGGCCGAAACCGGCCAAACAGGCAAAACCGCCCCGAUCAUGCCCGUUUUUCGGCGUUCAAACCGCCGCGCGUCUACCCCCCCAUCCCGAUGCCCCCGGACCCCUGGUCCCGUGGGACCUGACGGAAACGGAGUCGGAUGCCCGGAUCAUGAGAUACGCCCAAAACCGUCUAAACCUACUGAGCGCACCCCGAACAUGCCCAUUUUUCGGCGUUCAAACCGCCGCGCGGCUACCCCCCCAUCCCGAUGCCCCCGGAACCCUGGUCCCGCGGGACCCGACGGAAACGGAAUUGGAGGCCCGGAUCAUGAGUUACGGCCCCUUCUUUGCGGCCCCCGAGGNN